rnacentral:rRNA from 1 species
AGAGCGAACGCUGGCGGCAGGCCUAAUACAUGCAAGUCGAACGGAUCCUUCGGGAUUAGUGGCGGACGGGUGAGUAACACGUGGGAACGUGCCCUUUGGUUCGGAACAACUCAGGGAAACUUGAGCUAAUACCGGAUGUGCCCUUCGGGGGAAAGAUUUAUCGCCAUUGGAGCGGCCCGCGUCUGAUUAGCUAGUUGGUGAGGUAAAGGCUCACCAAGGCUUCGAUCAGUAGCUGGUCUGAGAGGAUGAUCAGCCACACUGGGACUGAGACACGGCCCAGACUCCGUACGGGAGGCAGCAGUAGGGAAUCUUGCGCAAUGGGCGAAAGCCUGACGCAGCCAUGCCGCGUGAAUGAUGAAGGUCUUAGGAUUGUAAAAUUCUUUCAGCGGGACGAUAAUGACGGUACCGCAGAAGAAGCCCGGCUAACUUCGCGCCAGCGAGCCGC